GCUUGUCUCAAAGAUUAAGCCAUGCAUGUCUCAGUAUAAGUUCCUGUACGGCGAAACUGCGAAUGGCUCAUUAAAACAGUUAUAGUUUAUUUGAUGGUCGUUCCUUACAUGGAUAACUGUGGUAAUUCUAGAGCUAAUACAUGCACCCAUGCCCGACUUUGUGGAAGGGUUGUGUUUAUUAGUUACAGAACCAACCCAGGCUCUGCCUGGUCUUGUGGUGAUUCAUAAUAACUGUUCGAAUCGCAUGCUUCGGCAGGCGAUAGUUCAUUCAAAUUUCUGCCCUAUCAGCUUUCGACGGUAGUGUAGUGGACUACCGUGGCGUUAACGGGUAACGGAGAAUUAGGGUUCGAUUCCGGAGAGGGAGCCUGAGAAAUGGCUACCACAUCCAAGGAAGGCAGCAGG
rnacentral:rRNA from 1 species